CCUACGGGGGGCUGCAGUGGGGAAUAUUGGACAAUGGGGGGAACCCUGAUCCAGCCAUGCCGCGUGUGUGAAGAAGGCCCUCGGGUUGUAAAGCACUUUCAGUGAGGAAGAACGCCUGGUGGUUAAUACCCAUCAGGAAAGACAUCACUCACAGAAGAAGCACCGUCUAACUCCGUGCCAGCAGCCGCGGUAAUACGGAGGGUGCGAGCGUUAAUCGGAAUUACUGGGCGUAAAGCGCGCGUAGGUGGCUUGAUAAGCCGGUUGUGAAAGCCCCGGGCUCAACCUGGGAACGGCAUCCGGAACUGUCAAGCUAGAGUGCAGGAGAGGAAGGUAGAAUUCCCGGUGUAGCGGUGAAAUGCGUAGAGAUCGGGAGGAAUACCAGUGGCGAAGGCGGCCUUCUGGACUGACACUGACACUGAGGUGCGAAAGCGUGGGUAGCAAACAGGAUUAGAUACCCUAGUAGUC
rnacentral:rRNA from 1 species